AUAGCUUUACGUUUACGUGCUGGGGGUAACGGGCGCUGGGUGAGUUACCAGCUAGCGGUACACAGACUAGACGUAGACAUACAUGUACUGCAGAUAUAUGCGAGAUUACAUUCGGAGUAUUCGGCCUCCGUCCGUCUGGUGCUUGUACACUGGUGUAUUAAUUGUUGUACUGGUGAAGUGCAUCAGAUAAAAAAUUGCUUACAGCGUGCAAAUAUUAACAGGAGACUUGAGUUUGAGUCGGGAUCUUUUGACAAACAUUCAUUGGCGCCCAUUCAUUUGCUAUUUCCUUAAUUCUGCAGACUGAUUGGGUGUGUUUUGUUUUGGUACAUCUACAGGUGUAUGUGAGUCAUAUCUUUAUGACAUAAUGUCAACCACCUCCGCAAGAGCCUAUACCUUAGGAGUGGAAGCAAUCUGAACCAGCUACCCGUACACAGAUAGGGGCUCGGCAUUCUAUCAUUUAAGAUGGCAUACCACUUCUGAAUGAGGCAUCCUUUUCUUCCUGAUUUGCCGUUGCUUCUUUAAAGAGCGGCUGAUGUCUCCCUUUAAACUUUGAAAGAUUCCAUCAUGAUGACCUGAGUAGAAGAAGAUUUCCUUGAGAGAGAAUUCCUAGGAUUAUCAAGGAUCUAACUGACAACAGUUCAGCAGCUGCCUCUGCUGCUGGUCAGCUGGCCAACACUAAAGCCUAUAGAAGCUGCCUAAUAACAACCAACCAAGAGGUGGCCAUCACCAUAGCCCAUUGAAGCUGCCUUACAGCUGGCCAAGACUAGAAUAUCUAUAUUUCAGCCAUUGGGAGUGUAUGAUCCUUGCCAGUCAGAAGAAAAAAUUGACCCCCUGGUGAGUUAGUCACUAUUAACUUUUUUUAAUACUGUUUGACAAUUUCUCUUUGACCAGUUUAUACAAUUUGAAUGAAAAUGUUUGUGUGUGGGUGUGUGUGAGCAAAAGACUUUCCGAUGAAUAGUGAUCAUGGAAGGUUUCGUGACAGGAAUGACAAUUUGUCAACUGAGAAAUGCCAGAUGAAACGGUUCCAUGACACUUGCUCCGGCGACAAUUGUUAUACUGUGAAAUCCACACACUAAUGGAAUGGCCAACUUCAACCCUAAAUCUAAUGUAAAAUUAUACCCCAUAUCCUAAACCUAACCCUACACCUACAUGUAAUUAAAACCCUAGUCCCUAUUGCAACCCUUACCCUAUACAAUGUAUAUCUGAGACGAAAUGAAGCCCGGAGCAAUUGUUGCAGGAGCGAAAUAUGUACCUUUUGAUCUUAAAAUUCAUCAUGUUGAUCUGUAAAAGUUAUAGGUAUCGGCCUAUAUAUCAUAUUAAAGUUGUGUCUUAUUCAAUUAAUUUUUUGAAAAUUUGGUUAGGUGCAAAAAUGUAGAAUUUUUUUAACAGAAUCUUUGCACAGGUCUCCAAAACUUUCAAAAUUUUUUGACCUCUGUAUGCAUGUUCUAUUAUGUCUACAGUCAUUUUCUUGUCAGUCUGUGUACUACUACACUAUAUUCGUGCAUGGAAAAUGACAUACAUGUACAUGUAUGAAUUCAAAGGACUUUGAGGCUGUUCUCACUACGUUCCUAGAACUAUAUUUAGUGGAAACUAGUUUAACGCGUAGUGAGAACGGUCAAAGCGGUCUUGGAAGCGAUCUUCCAAACAAGUUUGGAAAACCACCUCGCAAUGUAGUUUUCAAGAUCGCUUUGCCUCGUUAAACUGGUUUUAGCGUAAGUGAGGACACAACCGUUCUUCGGGAAGCGAUCUUCGCACAUUUUGAGCGCGCUACUCCACACGACAGGUGUAGAAUGCCUAUGCUGCGGUUUCUAAUUUCGCGCGAAACGUGUCACCCCACUGAGAGCGUUUCCAUAGCAACAAGAGCGCUUUACGUGAAGUGAUUUUGAAAACCACUUUCAUGUGAUCAAGUGGGAACGCUAGCAAAGCGAUCUUCCAAAGUGGUUUCCUGAAUCGGUUUCCAGUAAACUAGUUUUAGAAAGCGUAAUGAGAACGGCCUCUUUUACACAGUAAUACAGUGUACAUAGAUCUGCAGAAAAAGUUUGGGUCAGCCCAGGGUAGUCAGUUGUGGGAAUUAAUACCCUUUCAUAAACCCAAUAAAACAUAUCCUCCAAUUAGCAGCCUAAGAGUAAUGCGGAUAAUUCAAUAAAAAUUGCGUUCACAAACUCCAUAAAUUAUUUUUACGAGCGCCCGUCCUGAAAAAGGCGGAUAAUCAUCAUGACAACUGGACACGCCCCCUCCAAUGCGGUUGUGUUGGAAAAGGGUGACCUUGUGACCGCACCAUGGCAAUUAUCCGCAUUAUUUGGAAAUACGUUCAUAAACUCAAAAUCUUGUCCCGAUGCCGCUAUUAUGCGGAUAAUAGCAGCAUCAGAAUAAUGCGGAUAACUCUUGUCCUCCUCUGAUUUUACGAUCAAAUUAUGCUGCUAUUAGCCGCAUAAUUGUGUUUUAUUGGGUUUAUGAAAGGGGUAUAAGGGAAUAACAGCAAAAGAUAGAAAUGACACAAAUACAACACAAACAGAAUACUGUACAUGCACAGUAGGCCUCUGCUAUAAAAGCACAAAACUGUAUUAGUUUGGUUCACUGAAUCUAUUGUCCUCUGAUUUUAUAGUUAUAUAAAGAGUUGAGGAAAUGCAGAAGGUGCAUCGAUGCUUUUGUUGUUUAAUUCCUCUCUUUGUUUUUUUUUUCCUGUUAUUUUUGUGCCCUGCACAUACACGUACAUUUUUUCAUUUCAAUGGGAAAUUGUUCCCCUUCAUUACUCCUUGAGGAUCACACCAAAAAUGUUAUUUUCUUUUCAUUCAGAAAAAUGAUGUCAAAAUGCCCUGUAUUGUCCAUGAAGGGGAGUAAACCAAGGUCUUCAUGCUAAAUGAUUUGUACUCUCUCUCACUUUCUGUUUAUAUUGUUUGUUAUCUGAUUUUCUUUUGUUUAAAUUUGAAUCACACCCUGAAUACAUAAAAACACAUUGAAAACAUGUAGUUCAUACUAUUGUUGAUAUAGGCCAACCCUCUACUGGUUAUAUAUCCAUUGUAUGACGGUUUGUGAAGGCCAGUCUGUUGACACAAUGCAACUAAGAGAAAAGAGAUAAAAAUGUUAUCACUUAUACAAAUUAUUAAUGUUCAUGGGUGCAAUGCAAUGGAGAGAAUAUACUUCAUGAGGUGAAAAAUGAAAUAAUCCAUUUCCGUAUUUUGUUUGUUUUAUACAUGACUAGCCGAAUGGGUUUUUUAGAACAUGGUCUAAAGUCUCUAGGUUAGGAACUUACUGAGGAUUAUUUUUACUUGGCUGUUUAUGAGGAAAAUUCUUAACAUUGUCUUACCAUGGACCUUUGUAAUAGGUCCAUGGUCUUACUUUAUACUUCUUUAUGCUAUAAAAAGCAUAGUGUAGUUGGCCUUUAAUGCACUGCAAAGUUUCACAACUUCCUGAUAAAAACAAAAAACAUUUAACUAUGCAGUAGGGCCUGUAGUCAUGAGGAAAAAAUGUUGGUCAUGCCAGUAUCUUUUGAUAUCCUUGAUGUUGAAUAAUGUUUAAACCAAAUGAGUGAUAAUCUAUCUUGUUGUUUGCAUGGAUGUGGUGAAAUAUUACCAAUCAGUAAGGUUAUUCACACUGAGGCCAUGGUACUUUAUAGCUGGGGCUUAAAGGGAUGGAUGAACUUUGUUGAUAACAGUGGAUAUCUAGAUUGUGAUAUGAUUUUGGCUGAAACUGAAAGACAAAUAAAACUAACAAAAAAGUGAUUGGCCAUUUGGCUUUAGUAGAACUAAAGAUCUUCGGGCCAGUACAGGUUACAGUUUGUAAUUCAGAGUAUAUACUGAUUUAAGACUUUCUUUACUAUACAAUACAUGUAGCAUUUUCCUUGGCUAAACAAAAUGCUAUACACAUAGAUUACUCUUAUUCAGAUCAGUUCCAAGUGUUUUACUUUAUCAAUCUAAAUUCAAGCAAAAUACAUGUACUUAGUAAACUUAUUUACCAUUGUGGCAUCAUAAAGUCGAAGCCAAAUAAUUUGCUAAAUAUAUUCAGCUGCAUGCAGUAUACAUUACCUGUACGUUUCAUUUAUAAAUGCAUCGAUGUACAUGCAUGUUUGAAAACUGCAGACAAGCCAGACGUAAGCCAGGUACCGGUACAUCAAUUUAGGGGGCGGAUACUUAUAUUGAAAAGACACUUUUUUAUAAACAUACAUGCAGAUGAUCGAUAUAUUUUACUUUUAAUUGCAGAAAACCAAAUAAAUAAUUCAACUUUUGGCUUACAGUGU